rnacentral:rRNA from 1 species
UACGUAGGGGGCUAGCGUUGUCCGGAAUCAUUGGGCGUAAAGGGUGCGUAGGCGGGUCUUUAAGUCAGGGGUGAAAUCCUGGAGCUCAACUCCAGAACUGCCUUUGAUACUGAAGAUCUUGAGUUCGGGAGAGGUGAGUGGAACUGCGAGUGUAGAGGUGAAAUUCGUAGAUAUUCGCAAGAACACCAGUGGCGAAGGCGGCUCACUGGCCCGAUACUGACGCUGAGGCACGAAAGCGUGGGGAUCAAACAGG